AAAAGAUCGCAUUGUACAACAAAGUAUUUUUUUUUCAAAUACCUCAAACCUUGUAAUUUACUCUAUACAAAUAUAACUAUCUUUUUCUACACAUGAUGCAUUACGCACUGCAAACUAUUCAAGCUAUUCUUGCCUCAAUAAUGACAAACCCAGUGCUAAGCUUCCACACCAGGACCUCUCGAGACAAAUGGGGAGUAUUUCACCCACUCGAAUACAUUCAUAAAAAAAGUAUCAAUUUGCUCGCUCAAAAAAAACUAAAUUUGUUCGCAAAAGGCAUCCCUAAACACUUGGAUACAUGCAGUGCGGAAACAAUCCCCUCGCCCAGCAUCUCGGACAAACUCCCAUCAAGAUGAACACAUACCUGCACAGUUCCUGAUUUGUUACUCCAUGAAACAUACAAUUAUUUUCUUUCUAGAAUACACUUAAUAUUUAAAAAAAUAGGUAAACAUGUUUUAGCAAAUUCUCCCAUCCAUUUUAACAGCUUCUUUGAUGUUCCUUUCUUGCUCUGCAAUAAAUGAAGUACAGGUCCCGACGCCGCUUAAUCAUGCAGAGCUCAUAAUUUAGAAACUUUCCAGCCCAUUCGGUAACACCAUACAUGAUUAUCUCACAUUGCACAGCCUACAGAUGAUGAAACACGUUAAAGAUCGUCAGCUACAAUGGUUAAAGAUUGUACGCACAUAUAUAAAUUGAUAAUUAGGUUUUGAUAAAAAUCAAAACAGAGUACCAUAUCCUGUUGAGACCGUGAUGGCACAUACUGAAGUUCAUAGAUAUCUAAAAUUGCUAGGUUAUGAAUUAUCCUUUUGGAACGUUGCACACGUGCAAGUGCACAGUCAAACUAUGGGCCAGUUCUUUUGGGCGAUUCUACCAGAAUCGCCCCCCUCCGUAGCUUCUCCCAGAAUUAUCACUCCUUAUGUUUUUCACAAUCCUAGCUAAUUAGACCUUAACUAGAUAGGAUUGUAAAAAAAUAUGAAGUGGCGAUUCUUGAAGAAGCUGGGGAGGGGGGCGAUUCUGGGAGAAUCGCCGAAAAGAACUGGCCUAUAUGCAUCAACAUAUGACUCAAUUAUUCAUGACAUAUAGGACUGCCACGAGGAUCAAAUAGAUAACAAUUAUGAGCAAAUGGUGUUGUGUGACAUCUCCCAACUCGAUUAAUCAAAUUUUUUUGUUACUGAAUUAUCCAUAUGUGAAAAUUUCAAUGUAGAACUAAGUUAUUUUUGUAUAGAGAACUUCUUCCUUGGUUCGCAAAGAGGUUCAGCAGCCAUCCUAAAUGAGCAAUGAAACAUACCUUGAAUUACUUGAGCAAAGAAGAUGUGGAUUAGUGGUAAAGCUUCGCAAGCUGUUGCACUCGCCCAAACAAAUCAGAAACCAAAUCAGUUCUAAUUAAUCCGCUAAAAAAUAUAAGAAAAUAAAAUUCAAGAUUUACCAUCAAAUAGCUUGAAAUGUGAACAUGUGUGAAUCAAGAGAGGCCCAUUGUUUAAUCCAUUGCAAAUAUAUCGAGAACCUGCAAAGGUGGGACUAUCAUGUGCAUGAAGAUGGGAUCAAAUACCAACUCAACAGGUUCAUGGCUGCAGUACUCAUUAUCUGUAUUUACCUGACAUAAUGCUAAUUUAGAGAUGCUGGAUGCAAGCUGAUGGAGCAGUGGGCAGCAUCAAUCAGACAUACUGGUAGAUCAGGUGACUCUGCUGCUCCACCCUCAGUGUAUUGGCGCUGCUGCCUGCUCCUUCCCGCGAUGCUCCAAAUUGAAUCUAGCCGUUUGCCCUUGAAGCACUAAAGAUGACACGAAGCAGAACAUAUAUGAACUUCUAAGAAAUUAAUCACAUCGUAACCUCGUUGGUUUGAGCUUGCACAUCCACUUUAUUAGUGUCAUUCCCAAGCCCUUCAAAAAACAUAGGAGGUGGAGGCUCAAUUGCGGCUACAACAUCAUCCAUACCGACAAAGUCUGGAUUAGUAUUAUCAUUGUCUAGAUUCAUGAAACACAGUAAUAAGGAUUCACAAAAUACAACUCAUUAAGUACACAGUAUUUGAACCUUUGACAACCGGGCUUGUUCUGCAUGUGCAUCCUUGUGAUACGAUUGCUCCUCAG
rnacentral:lncRNA from 1 species